rnacentral:lncRNA from 1 species
GUCACGACCCCACCCGUGGGCCCGUGACCGGCACUAGGGAAUGGGUAGGCGUAAGGCCACCGAAACCCGUAGUAAGCCUGACACUCACUGACUUAAACAAAUCUCAUCUCAAAUUUAUAUUAUUAAAACCACAAAUUAUCUUAAUAGCUACAUUCUACAUAAAUACUUCGGUCUGCCAGAAAAAUUAGGCGAGACCCGAAACUCAUAAAAUUUACAACUGAUACAUCUACUAAUUACUACUGCGGAGAAUCUAAGAUUUACCAAUUUACAUACCAAAUCAAAUACAUCACCAGAUGAUGAAGGAGUCGGGUUAC